rnacentral:piRNA from 1 species
UUAAUAUCGAAAACGCUGAAA